AUUGAACGCUGGCGGCAGGCCUAACACAUGCAAGUCGAACGAGUGGCGGACGGGUGAGUAAUGUCUGGGAAACUGCCUGAUGGAGGGGGAUAACUACUGGAAACGGUAGCUAAUACCGCAUACCAUCGGAUGUGCCCAGAUGGGAGUAGCUAGUAGGUGGGGUAAUGGCUCACCUAGGCGACGAUCCCUAGCUGGGCUGAGAGGAUGACCAGCCACACUGGAACUGAGCCACGGUCCAGACUCCUACGGGAGGCAGAAGUGGGGAAUAUUGCACAAUGGGCGCAAGCCUGAUGCAGCCAUGCCGCGUGUGUGAAGAAGGCCUUCGGGUUGUAAAGCACUUUCAGCGGGGAGGCGUUAACCGAAGAAGAAGCACCGGCUAACUCCGUGCCAGCAGCCGCGGUAAUAG
rnacentral:rRNA from 1 species